CAUCGCUGGGUUGUGGCGGGGCAGGAGAGAUGAGUGGGGGAGACUGGGAGAGUGAUGAGCCUUGUCUGUAAUUGAGACAGACUCCACCAAGAUUUGGGUCCAGAGUUUGUCUUCACAAUAAAACGGUAUCCUCAUGUAUGUGCAUCAGGAGGA